GACGAACGCUGGCGGCGUGCCUAACACAUGCAAGUCAACUUGACGGAAGGAGCAAUCUGACCGUAGAGUGGCGCAAGGGUGCGUAACGCGUAAGUAACUUGCCCCAAGGUAAGGAAUAACGUCGAGAAAUCGGCGCUAAUACCUCAUAAUGCAGCGGAUCCGCAUGGAUAUGUUGUUAAAGGUUUACCGCCUUGGGGAUAGGCUUGCGUCUGAUUAGCUAGUUGGUGUGGUAACGGCACACCAAGGCUACGAUCAGUAACUGGUCUGAGAGGAUGAUCAGUCACACUGGAACUGAGACACGGUCCAGACUCCUACGGGAGGCAGCAGUGAGGAAUAUUGGGCAAUGCUCGAAAGAGUGACCCAGCAACGCCGCGUGGAGGAUGAAGGUAUUCUAUAUCGUAAACUCCUGUGAGAGCAGACGAAAGACAGAUUAUUAAUCUGGAUGACUGUAUGCUCAGAGGAAGCCCC
rnacentral:rRNA from 1 species